rnacentral:tRNA from 1 species
AAGAUAUUAGUUAAGAAUAUAAUAUUAACUUGUCAUGUUAAAGUCAUCUAUUUCUAGAUAUUUCUUG